AAGAUGCCACCUUCUGCAGUCUUCUUUGCAGGGGCCAGGACAGGUACAGCACAGGCAGUGAGAGUGCAAGCUUUUCCCAUAGCACCUCAUCCAUGUGCCUCAACCUUGACAUAAAGGGACCCCUCUAGAGACCUGUGCCACUCAAGGAUGGUCUGCCAUUCCCUAACUAUCCUUGACCAAG
rnacentral:sRNA from 1 species